AGUGCUAAAUUUCUUCUGGAACAAAGUCAACAUCAGACCUGCGCAAAGAUGAAGAGCCAAUUCGAGAUGACGGUGUCGGAGGAGAAGGUGAACAUGGACCACUUCCGGUUGGAUUCGAUCGAGGACUUGGAUCAGAGCGACGAUGAGGAUUUCAUCACGUGCGAUAUGUGCCACAAGUGCGAGCGGCGCCCGCUCGUUUUCAAUACAGUGAUGAUCACGUUGCAUUUGGUCCUUCUGGCCUCAAUUUAUUUCGUUAUCCAAUAUUUCACCAACUGAGACAGCAGCAGCGGUACAGUUCAUUAGUACUUAAGAUUAUAUGUAAAUCACGAAUUAAAAAAAAAUCGUUUAAUAAUCUA